rnacentral:lncRNA from 13 species
GUCGAGUAGUGACUCGAGCCUCAGGUGAGCACAGCAGCAGUCAGGAACAAUUACCUUCGCUCUCUUCACUUCCUCCUCCCAACCUUGCCGCCACACCAGAGAGAAGAAGAAGAAUAGCGAAGGCUGAUGGCCCUCACUGUCAACAAUGCAUGAGGUCAACCUCUCAUCAGAAGUCAGACAAGACAAACACAUGACAAAGAAGACCACAGCUCCAGGUCACACCCAUACAGUAUUAUUCUGAUAAACAGUCAACAGCUAAUUGAUUAAAUUAAUGAAUAAGUUAGCAUAAAUCAAAUGUUUUGUAUUCUGUAGUUUAGCUAAGCCCUGAGCAUCUCCUCUGCUUUGCUUUUCUUCCUCUCCCUCCUUCCCUCUCUCUCCCUGCGUGGCCGGUCAGUCAGUCAGUCAGUCAGUCAUUCGGGGCUGUCUCCGCUGUCACUUCACAUCAGGCUCCGUUUCCGUGACGACAGGCGCUGAUGGGCGGCGUGGGUAACCCGCGGUGAUGGGAGGCCACUGUGAUAUGUAAAGCAGGGCGUCUGGACAAUGGCCGAGCUGUCAUCGGUGUAGCCAGCCUUCGCUGGGAGGAAGAC